UACGUAGGGCGCAAGCGUUAUCCGGAAUUAUUGGGCGUAAAGAGCUCGUAGGCGGUUUGUCGCGUCUGCCGUGAAAGUCCGGGGCUCAACUCCGGAUCUGCGGUGGGUACGGGCAGACUAGAGUGAUGUAGGGGAGACUGGAAUUCCUGGUGUAGCGGUGAAAUGCGCAGAUAUCAGGAGGAACACCGAUGGCGAAGGCAGGUCUCU
rnacentral:rRNA from 1 species